AUGGUAAGCACAUGCAAAUUGUGUCUUCAGUCUGACGAAGAUAUGAUGCACGCACUACUGGAGUGCCCUCACGCCAGACAGUUUUGGGAUGCAACACCAGAGUGGCUAAAUGUUAAAAGGCCGACCCUGCACCCGCUAACCUGGUCAAGGGAUAUCCUAUGUGACGAUAUAUUUUCAGAGUCUGAAAGAGCGACUCUAGUGACUGUUAUGUGGACGAUUUGGACCUCUCGGAACAAUAUCACCCACGACAAAGCUGCGUUCAAUCCUAGCCAAUCCAUGAGAAAGGUGCGGGAAACCCUAGCAGUUCUGGAGCUGCCUCGUGAGCAUGCCCGUACUUUGUCGGGCCAUGGCUGGCGCCCACCAGAGUUGGGCUGGAUCAAAAUAAAUAUUGAUGGAAGUAUUGCAAUGGAUGCAAGAAGGGGAGGGACGGGGGGAGUUGCUCGAUCUCGGUCUUCCUUUCUUGCGGCAUGGUGCAAACCCUACCCUGGGAUCACGGAUCCACUGAUAGCUGAAGCUCUUGCCAUUCGCGAGGAGUCAUCUUCGCUCAUCUGA
rnacentral:rRNA from 1 species